GUAAGAGAAAAAGAAAAGCAAAAAUCGAAGAGAUACCAGUUGUGAUAGUCCGGAACCGCUCCUGUCCUGCAGUAUCCCAGAUUUGCAGCUUAAUUCUCUUCCCAUCCAGCUCAAUAGUCCGUAUCUUGAAAUCAAUUCUGUCACAACAAAAUUUUAUAUUGAGUGAGAAGGGAACAAGACAAUGAUAUGCCCUGGAGGGAAAGCCGACUGAUGACAAUAGAAUUCAAAUCAAGGAGAGUUAUCAAUUGGUUUGAUCAACUUGGGAGGAUAGCUAUUAGCUCGUGAGAGAUUGUUGGUGGUGAUUUACAGUAAUACGUGGAUCUUAACAGACAAGUACACAAAGCACUUGAGAGAAAAGCAUCAUGUAAUAAAGAGAUCAUGCUUACCCAAUUGUUGUAAUGAAACUGGUGGUAAAGGAGCCAUCUGAAAAACGCAAGAGGAGGCAACUCUUACCCACACCUGGUGUACAUGAAAGAAGAUAGAGGAAGAAGUUAGAUCAAGCAAAAGACCUUUGAAUGUGGUUACACACGUACAAAGUUUAAUACUAUCAUAAACCAUUUGUCACCCAAAACAUCCACCCC